rnacentral:rRNA from 1 species
UGAGGAAUAUUGCACAAUGGGCGCAAGCCUGAUGCAGCAACGCCGCGUGAGGGACGAAGGCCUUCGGGUCGUAAACCUCUUUUCUGGGGGACGAGUAAGGACGGUACCCCAGGAAUAAGUCUCGGCUAACUACGUGCCAGCAGCCGCGGUAAAACGUAGGAGGCGAGCGUUAUCCGGAUUUACUGGGCGUAAAGCGUACGCAGGUGGCUUCGUUAGUCGGACGUGAAAGCUCCUGGCUUAACUGGGAGAGGUUGUUCGAUACUGCGGGGCUUGAGGUUGGGAGAGGGACGUGGAAUUCCCGGUGUAGUGGUGGAAUGCGUAGAUAUCGGGAGGAACACCAGUGGCGCAAGCGGCGUCCUGGCCCACACCUGACGCUGAGGUACGAAAGCGUGGGUAGCAAACAG